GAUUUCAAACAUUUCUUAGAGUGUACAAACAAAUUUAUAAGAAUAUUUGACAAUGAUCGGGGCUUAUUAUCUGUCGAUGAAGUUGAUACUUUUAUCAAUUUUAAAAUUCAAAUGUACAUUGCAAUAAAUGAAAAUUUAUAUAUUGGCAUCGAUGAAAUUGAAAACAAUGUUCCAGAACAUAUUAUUUUUAUACAUGAUUAAUAAACAACCGAUCACUUGUAUGAUUAAUAAACGGUUUGUAUUAUUAAAUAAAAAAGAAAAAUAAUA